rnacentral:rRNA from 1 species
UACAGAGGGGGCAAGCGUUAUUCGGAAUUACUGGGCGUAAAGCGCGCGUAGGCGGCUUUGUAAGUUAGAGGUGAAAGCCCGGAGCUCAACUCCGGAAUUGCCUUUAAGACUGCAUCGCUAGAAUCAUGGAGAGGUCAGUGGAAUUCCGAGUGUAGAGGUGAAAUUCGUAGAUAUUCGGAAGAACACCAGUGGCGAAGGCGACUGACUGGACAUGUAUUGACGCUGAGGUGCGAAAGCGUGGGGAGCAAACAGG